UACAGAGGGGGCAAGCGUUGUUCGGAAUUACUGGGCGUAAAGGGCGCGUAGGCGGCCUGCUAAGUCGAACGUGAAAUCCCCGGGCUCAACCCGGGAACUGCGUCCGAUACUGGCAGGCUUGAAUUCGGGAGAGGGAUGCGGAAUUCCAGGUGUAGCGGUGAAAUGCGUAGAUAUCUGGAGGAACACCGGUGGCGAAGGCGGCUCUCUGGGACGGUACUGACGCUGAGACGCGAAAGCGUGGGGAGCAAACAGG
rnacentral:rRNA from 1 species